UACGAAGGGAGCUAGCGUUGUUCGGAAUCACUGGGCGUAAAGCGCACGUAGGCGGGUGUGUCAGUCAGGGGUGAAAUCCCGGAGCUCAACUUCGGAACUGCCCUUGAUACAGCACGUCUCGAGUCCGAGAGAGGUGAGUGGAAUUCCUAGUGUAGAGGUGAAAUUCGUAGAUAUUAGGAAGAACACCAGUGGCGAAGGCGGCUCACUGGCUCGGUACUGACGCUGAGGUGCGAAAGCGUGGGGAGCAAACAGG
rnacentral:rRNA from 1 species